rnacentral:rRNA from 1 species
CCUACGGGAGGCAGCAGUGGGGGAUAUUGCACAAUGGGGGAAACCCUGAUGCAGCGACGCCGCGUGGGCGAAGAAGUAUUUCGGUAUGUAAAGCCCUAUCAGCAGGGAAGAAGAAAAUGACGGUACCUGACCAAGAAGCCCCGGCGAACUACGUGCCAGCAGCCGCGGUAAUACGUAGGGGGCAAGCGUUAUCCGGAUGUACUGGGUGUAAAGGGAGCGUAGACGGCAAGGCAAGUCUGGAGUGAAAGCCCGUGGCUCAACCACGGGACUGCUUUGGAAACUGUGUUGCUGGAGUGCAGGGGUGGUAAGCGGAAGGCCGAGUGUAGCGGUGAAAUGCUUAGAUAUGAGGAGGAACACCGGUGGCGAAGGCGGCC